GAGGCGAAUGCGCCCCAUCCUCAUUGCUGACCUUUGGCUACGGCGUCUAAUACUGGUUAAGCCCCGUCACCACCUAAUGUGCGGGUGGAAAGAUUUUUCGGUUGGGGAUGGGCUCGCGGCCUAUCAGCUUGUUGGUGAGGUAAUGGCUCACCAAGGCGUCGACGGGUAGCCGGCCUGAGAGGGUGACCGGCCACACUGGGACUGAGACACGGCCCAGACUCCUACGGGAGGCAGCAGUGGGGAAUAUUGCACAAUGGGCGGAAGCCUGAUGCAGCAACGCCGCGUGAGGGAUGACGGCCUUCGGGUUGUAAACCUCUUUUAGCAGGGAAGAAGCGAGAGUGACGGUACCUGCAGAAAAAGCACCGGCUAACUACGUGCCAGCAGCCGCGGUAAUACGUAGGGUGCAAGCGUUAUCCGGAAUUAUUGGGCGUAAAGAGCUCGUAGGCGGUCUGUCGCGUCUGCUGUGAAAUUCCGAGGCUCAACCUCGGGCUUGCAGUGGGUACGGGCAGACUAGAGUGCGGUAGGGGAGAUUGGAAUUCCUGGUGUAGCGGUGGAAUGCGCAGAUAUCAGGAGGAACACCGAUGGCGAAGGCAGAUCUCUGGGCCGUAACUGACGCUGAGGAGCGAAAGGGUGGGGAGCAAACAGGCUUAGAUACCCUGGUAGUCCACCCCGUAAACGUUGGGAACUAGUUGUGGGGUCCUUUCCACGGAUUCCGUGACGCAGCUAACGCAUUAAGUUCCCCGCCUGGGGAGUACGGCCGCAAGGCUAAAACUCAAAGGAAUUGACGGGGACCCGCACAAGCGGCGGAGCAUGCGGAUUAAUUCGAUGCAACGCGAAGAACCUUACCAAGGCUUGACAUACACGAGAACGGGCCAGAAAUGGUCAACUCUUUGGACACUCGUGAACAGGUGGUGCAUGGUUGUCGUCAGCUCGUGUCGUGAGAUGUUGGGUUAAGUCCCGCAACGAGCGCAACCCUCGUUCUAUGUUGCCAGCACGUAAUGGUGGGAACUCAUGGGAUACUGCCGGGGUCAACUCGGAGGAAGGUGGGGAUGACGUCAAAUCAUCAUGCCCCUUAUGUCUUGGGCUUCACGCAUGCUACAAUGGCCGGUACAAUGGGCUGCGAUACCGUAAGGUGGAGCGAAUCCCAAAAAGCCGGUCCCAGUUCGGAUUGAGGUCUGCAACUCGACCUCAUGAAGUCGGAGUCGCUAGUAAUCGCAGAUCAGCAACGCUGCGGUGAAUACGUUCCCGGGUCUUGUACACACCGCCCGUCAAGUCAUGAAAGUCGGUAACACCUGAAGCC
rnacentral:rRNA from 1 species